AACGCACAUUGCGCCCUUUGGUAUUCCGAGGGGCAUGCCUGUUCGAGCGUCAUUUCAAACCUCAAGCUCACGCUUGGUGUUGGGCCUCGUCCGCCAGGACGUGCCUGAAACCCGUAGGCAGCGGUGCCCGUCUCCCAGCGUAGUCAAGUUACCCGCUUCGGAGCGCGCGGCGCCGCCCGCCGGACGAACAAUCAUAUUCUUCUAUGGGUUGACCUCGGAUCAGGUAGGGAUACCCGCUGAACUUAA
rnacentral:misc_RNA from 1 species